AGUGAGCGCUGGCGGUAGGCCUAACACAUGCAAGUCGAACGGCAGCACAGUAAGAGCUUGCUCUUACGGGUGGCGAGUGGCGGACGGGUGAGGAAUACAUCGGAAUCUACUUUUUCGUGGGGGAUAACGUAGGGAAACUUACGCUAAUACCGCAUACGACCUACGGGUGAAAGCAGGGGAUCUUCGGACCUUGCGCGAUUGAAUGAGCCGAUGUCGGAUUAGCUAGUUGGCGGGGUAAAGGCCCACCAAGGCGACGAUCCGUAGCUGGUCUGAGAGGAUGAGCAGCCACACUGGAACUGAGACACGGUCCAGACUCCUACGGAAGGCAGCAGUGGGGAAUAUUGGACAAUGGGCGCAAGCCUGAUCCAGCCAUACCGCGUGGGUGAAGAAGGCCUUCGGGUUGUAAAGCCCUUUUGUUGGGAAAGAAAAGCAGCAGGUUAAUACCCCGCUGUUCUGACGGUACCCAAAGAAUAAGCACCGGCUAACUUCGUG
rnacentral:rRNA from 1 species